GAAUCCAAGACUGAAAACCAGCACUUAUAUCAUGGCCGUUGGUUUCAAGCAGAGGCCUAAUCAUCUUCCUGUGGUCUGGUGGCUGUCCUGGAACCUCAGCAAGAAAUGGCUAUUUCAUCUGGAAGGAACAACC
rnacentral:snoRNA from 1 species